CACGUAGGAGGCGAGCGUUGUCCGGAAUCAUUGGGCGUAAAGAGCGCGCAGGCGGCUUGACAAGUCGGGUGUGAAAUCCCGGGGCUCAACCCCGGGACUGCAUUCGAUACUGUCAGGCUAGAGGUAGGUAGGGGAGAUCGGAAUUCCUGGUGUAGCGGUGAAAUGCGCAGAUAUCAGGAGGAACACCGGUGGCGAAGGCGGCGAUCUGGCCCAACAUUGACACUGAGACCCGAAAGUGCGGGGAUCAAACAGG
rnacentral:rRNA from 1 species